rfam:Monodelphis domestica chromosome 4, whole genome shotgun sequence.
AUAAGGGUUUUUCUUAAAACCACAUUCUUUUUAAUAAUAGUAAUA